GCAGUGGUGGUUCAGCGGUAGAAUCCUAGCCUUUUGUGCAGGAGUCCUGGGUUCAAUUCCUGGCCAAGGCA
rnacentral:tRNA from 1 species